rnacentral:lncRNA from 1 species
AGCCAGGCCAGGGCUGGGUGGGAGCCAGGGCAGCCUGUCCUCUCCCCCCAGAGCCCACGUGACCAAACAAGCCAGACCACUGAGCAUGGUGUAGACCAAGGACACUGCCCUGGACUCCAUGGAGCCACAACCGGACACCAGUCACAAGGAGAACAUGCCCCCAAGGCCUGGGGCACCCCUGAGGCCAGAGCCACAGAGAUUCCAGAGCAGCCUGGGCGUCGGCCCGGGCAGUGGAUGUGGCCAGCGGGUGCCCAAGAGGGGAAGUCCUGCUGCCACGCCCUCCCCAGGGGCGGCGCUGCACCAGGAGCCCUGCGGGGUCCAGACCAACCUCGCCAGCCCGGGUCCCCGCCUGGGCCUAGCCCUGAGGGACAGCAGGGGCCCACUGGCCAUGUCAAGCUUCUGGCAACAGAGUAACCUGCAGCCUGCCGCUGGGAGGCCCCAGGGCAAGGCCCGAGAGUUUGCCCAGCAGAGUAACCUGAGCAUGAGCGAGACCACCAGCCCCCGCCUCUGGCCGGAGUCUCGGGAAAGCUUCGGGCCCCACGUGCUGCCCUGGGGAAGUCCCCUACCCCAGGGGCCACUGAGUCACCCAUCCCGCAGCCUGAUGCAGUCCAGGCUGCCGGCCACAGACACGCACAGCCUGGACUUGAGGCCCGAGGCAGGCUUUGCCCCUCUCAGUGGGCGCACACAGCCAGGCCCCAGGUCCUGGCGUGGCCUGGGGAACUGGCCCUCCAGGGUGGAAGCGGAACCCCUCACGCUGGACGACCUGGCUGUCCCUGGCCAGAGCCAGGCUCGGGCCCCAUCCCAUGCUGCCAUCCACCAGCUACUGGCCUCCGUACGGCGCCUGGAGCAGGAGGCGGCCCGUCUCCAGUGCAGGGCGUCCCAGGGGUCCCCAGGUGCUGCGCAGCGGGACCCCUGGGCCAGCAGCGGCCGGGCGCCCCAGCCCAGCCGGCCUGCUCUUGCCUUCUGGCAGGAGAGGAGGAAGAGACUCCCCCAAGGCCACAGGGAAACUGCAGAUUUCCUCGAGUCCCAGGGGGCUCAGGCUGGUCCCUCAAAGUCUUGGACACGCAGCAAGCCAGCGUGGCCGGAGACCACUUCGGGGAUGCUGCCUGGAGAUCUUGACCCUGAGCAGGGGCCCCUUCCCGCACACCCCCUGCGGCCCGGGGAGGACUGCUCCCCAGGGCCUGUGUGUGGCAGGGCGCAGAGGGGCCACCCUCGUCUUCCUCAAGGGGUGUACAGCAGGGAGGCCACACCCUGCUCUUCAGCCUUCUCUGGCGCAGCUCGGGGGGGCCUACCUAGGCGGAAAGGAGAGGAGGGGGCCCUGAGGGAGCUGGCCCACAGGGAGGAGGAGAGCACGGCUUCCUGUCCGCCAGACGCAGCCCCAGCCAGGAGCACCCCGAAGAACCAGGUCCCAAACACUGUGGCUCUGGAAUCGGAGGCAGUCCGCCGGCAGCUGCUGUCCAGAUGCUUCAGAGCCUGGAGGCCCUUGGCGCGGAGACGGCGGGCCGUGGCAGCGGCGGUGGCACUGGGCCGCCGGCAGCUGCUGCGAAGGGGCCUUCGGGCUCUGCGGUGGGCCCUGUGGCUCCGGGAGGCCCGGCUGGAGGCUGCAUGGGGACGACACGCGAAGGCCCUGCUGGCCCGGAGCUUCCGAGAGGUCAGGGGUCUCCAGGUUGGGCCAGGGGACGUGUGA